UGGGGAAUUUUGGACAAUGGGCGCAAGCCUGAUCCAGCAAUGCCGCGUGCAGGAUGAAGGCCUUCGGGUUGUAAACUGCUUUUGUACGGAGCGAAAAGGUCUGCCCUAAUACGGUGGGCUCAUGACGGUACCGUAAGAAUAAGCACCGGCUAACUACGUGCCAGCAGCCGCGGUAAUACGUAGGGUGCGAGCGUUAAUCGGAAUUACUGGGCGUAAAGCGUGCGCAGGCGGUUAUGUAAGACAGAGGUGAAAUCCCCGGGCUCAACCUGGGAACGGCCUUUGUGACUGCAUCGCUAGAGUACGGUAGAGGGGGAUGGAAUUCCGCGUGUAGCAGUGAAGUGCGUAGAUAUGCGGAGAAACACCGAUGGCGAAGGCAAUCCCCUGGACCUGUACUGACGCUCAUGCACGAAAGCGUGGGGAGCAAA
rnacentral:rRNA from 1 species